AUGCAGGCGCCCGCCGAGAGAACGUGGUCGCCGAUGUCCACGGAGGCCAACCCCUAUGCCAUGCCGGCGCCGGCGCAGAAGAGCACCAAGGAGACGGUGAAGAACGCGCUGUCGCUGUGGGGGCGGAAGGUCGGCGAGGCGAGCAGGAAGGCCGAGGACCUGUCGCGCAACACAUGGCAGCACCUUCGGACGGCGCCUAGCAUGACGGAGGCGGCCGUGGGGAGGAUCGCGCAGGGGACCAAGGUGCUGGCGGAGGGCGGCCACGACAGGAUCUUCCGGCAGGCCUUCAGCGCCCCGCCGGACGAGCAGCUCCGCAAGUCCUACGCCUGCUACCUCUCCACGUCCGCCGGCCCGGUCAUGGGGGUCAUGUACCUCUCCACCGCCCGGGUCGCCUUCUGCAGCGACACCCCGCUCUCCUACGAGGCCCACGCCGGCGACAACACGGAAUGGAGCUACUACAAGGUGGCGAUUCCUCUGCACCGGCUGAGGGCGGCCAUCCCGUCGGCCAGCAAGGUCAAGCCGGCGGAGAAGUUCAUCCAGCUCGUGUCGAUGGAGAACCACGAGUUCUGGCUGAUGGGCUUCGUCAACUACAGCAGCGCCGUCGUGCACUUGCAAGAGGCUCUCAGCGGCUUCCACAACCUGCAAGCCUGA
rnacentral:rRNA from 1 species